rnacentral:rRNA from 1 species
GAUGAACGCUAGCGACAGGCCUAACACAUGCAAGUCGAGGGGCAGCACAUGCGUAGCAAUACAAUGGUGGCGACCGGCGCACGGGUGAGUAACACGUAAGCAACCUACCUGUAAGUGGGGAAUAACCCGGAGAAAUCCGGACUAAUACCGCAUAAUACUUUUGAACUGCAUGGUUAAAGUUAAACAUUAUGGCUUACAGAUGGCGAUGCGUAUGAUUAGUUAGUUGGUGAGGUAACGGCUCACCAAGACAUCGAUCAUUAGGGGUUCGUGAGAGGAAGGUCCCCCACCACUGGUACUGAGACACGGACCAGACUCCUACGGGAGGCAGCAGUGAGGAAUAUUGGUCAAUGGGCGAGAGCCUGAACCAGCCAAGUCGCGUGAAGGAAGACGGUUCUAUGGAUUGUAAACUUCUUUUGUAAGGGAAUAAAAAGAGUACGUGUACUUUCUUUGUAUGUACUUUACGUAA